GACUAAUUAGCUCAGUCGGUAGAGCACAUCCCUUUUAAGGAUGGGGUCCUGGGUCCGAGUCCCAGAUUAGUCA
rnacentral:tRNA from 1 species